ensembl:miRNA
CACCUGGGGAGCUUGUUAAAAUGCUGACAUUCAGUAGCCUGAGAUUCUGCAUUUUUAACAAGCUCCCGGGAG